rnacentral:tRNA from 1 species
GCCUGGGUGGCUCAGUCAGUUAAGCGUCUGACUUCGGCUCAGGUCAUGAUCUCUUGGUUUGCGGGUUCGAGCCCCGCAUCAGGCU